rnacentral:rRNA from 1 species
AUUGAACGCUGGCGGCAUGCCUUACACAUGCAAGUCGAACGGUAACAGGUCUUCGGAUGCUGACGAGUGGCGAACGGGUGAGUAAUACAUCGGAACGUGCCUAGUAGUGGGGGAUAACUACUCGAAAGGGUGGCUAAUACCGCAUGAGAUCUACGGAUGAAAGCAGGGGAUCGCAAGACCUUGUGCUACUAGAGCGGCCGAUGGCAGAUUAGGUAGUUGGUGGGAUAAAAGCUUACCAAGCCGACGAUCUGUAGCUGGUCUGAGAGGACGAUCAGCCACACUGGGACUGCGACACGGCCCAGACUCCUACGGGAGGCAGCAGUGGGGAAUUUUGGACAAUGGGCGAAAGCCUGAUCCAGCAAUGCCGCGUGCAGGAUGAAGGCCUUCGGGUUGUAAACUGCUUUUGUACGGAACGAAAAGCCCUGGGUUAAUACCCUGGGGUCAUGACGGUACCGUAAGAAUAAGCACCGGCUAACUACGUGCCAGCCGCCGCAGUAA